rnacentral:tRNA from 1 species
GGAAAGGUGUCUGAGUGGUCGAAAGAGCACGCUUGGAAGGCGUGUGUACCCGGAAGGGUACCGCGGGUUCAAAUCCCGCCCUUUCCG